UUAGCUACAAUAUAGUCAUCUUUGGUGGUGUGGAUGGCUUUUCACGAAAGAUAAUGUACCUUGGAGCUGCCACUAAUAACCUCGCAGCAACUACCUUGGAUUUUUUUCAGGAAGCAGUAGAGACAUUUGGCUUUCCUCUCAGGGUACGAGGUGAUCAGGGGGUUGAGAAUGUGGAUGUGGCUCGCCUUAUGUUUACCGUUCGUGGAACUGGAAAGGGCAGCUUCAUUUCUGGAAAGAGCAUACACAAUCAGCGGCAAGUUUCAAUUUUUAAAUUUUUUUUCAUUCUUAGGAAUGUUUAUAAAUUUUUUUAAGAGUUGCACUGUUAUGUAAGAAUGUGUAAGAAUAUUACAUUUUAUUAGCAUUUUCCAUUCUCUUUAGUAUUGAGAGGCUGUGGAGAGACGUCUGGACAUCAGUAACAAAUGUUUACUAUGAUGUUUUACAUGGUUUGGAAGAAGGUGGCUACCUUGACAUUUCUGACCAUACUCACCUCUUCUGCUGCCACUAUGUAUUUCUUCCACGGCUUCAAGAUGAUCUUAAUCUUUUUCGAAACACUUGGGAUAAUCACACAAUACGCACAGAGGGUUGUAUGACUCCUAACCAGUUGUGGGUGAUGGGAAGCAUACGCAGUCCUGUACAAGAAUCUGACAUAGAGGGAUUGAGAAUACCCCACAUUGACUGGGAAAGUAGUGGCCUGUGUGUUGAUGGACACUCCAGCAUUGUUGUGCCUCCGACAGGAUGUCCCCUGACUGAGGAGCAACUGGUACUGCUCCAAGAAACUAUACAUCCCAAAAGACCUUCACAGACCUUUGGCUGGGACAUAUAUUUAGCUGCACUUGAUUUUUGCCAAUCUGUUCUAAUGGAAUAAUUGUGAAUUUCAUCUUCAUCUUGUGGAAAUAAAAAUGUAUACAAUCUAGUUACAAAUGAACAAUACUAUAUAUAACUGAAAAGAUGUAUGCUUUGGUUUUUAUAAAUUGGUUUAUAUAAAUAUAUUGAUGAGAUCUAGGCUGGAAAAUGCCAUUUACCUUGUACUAGUACUUGAUUGGCAUGCUUUGUUUAGUUCUGACUUCUAUCAUUAGCAAUUA